AUAUUAUUUAUUAAACGGUUUUUUAUUUCCCGACGCAACCAAAGGGAAAUAUAAAUUGUACUUGCUCCCGUACGUUAGUAAUCUGUAUAUUUGUGGUGAAUAUUCUUGGGGUUCGGCUGUUCUGGGAUGUCUUUACAGGGCGUUGUGUAGAGCUUCCGAAGCCGACAAACGUACAGUGUAUGGGUGUCUUCUUCUAGUCCAGAUUUGGGCAUGGGAGAGGCGGCCUAUGUUUCAGCCGAAAGGUGUAUUGCCGCGCAACCAAAUCGCUGACUACCCUAUUGCAUACAGGUGGGUUUGUCGGCAUUCUUGGUUAUCAGUGCCUACGCACACUGUCGUAGCCUAUCGCGAUCAAUUAGAUCGCGUAGCUGAACAUAGAUUUAAUUUCACCCCUUACGAUGACUAUCUCGAUGCCUUGCCCCCAUAUUGCACAGCGGGGAGGAUUUUGUGGACUGCUCGUGUUCCGUUUAUUUUUUACCACGUGGUGGAAUAUCUCCAGCCUGACCGGUUCUGCAGGCAAUGACGCCCUCGGAAUCUAUGGUGUUGCCCUAAAUACUGGUUACGUUUCCCAAAGUCAACAAUAUCACUUUCAAGUGAAUCUAACGGAACGUACGUGUAACUGCGGCUUGUGGAACGUCAACGGCUUACCUUGUGCACAUGUGAUUGCAGCAUGCAAUUACCGAGGGCAAGGAUUCGGCCCAUUAGUGCCAGAUGUUUACUCGGUUGAAAAUUACAGGAACUGUUAUGCUAGUAAUUUUUACCCUGUAGA